CAGCCGCCACGGUAAUACGUAGGUGGCAAGCGUUGUCCGGAAUUAUUGGGCGUAAAGCGCGCGCAGGUGGUUUAAUAAGUCUGAUGUGAAAGCCCACGGCUCAACCGUGGAGGGUCAUCGGAAACUGUUAAACUUGAGUGCAGGAGAGAAAAGUGGAAUUCCUAGUGUAGCGGUGAAAUGCGUAGAGAUUAGGAGGAACACCAGUGGCGAAGGCGGCUUUUUGGCCUGUAACUGACACUGAGGCGCGAAAGCGUGGGGAGCAAACAGGAUUAGAUACCCCAGUAGUCCCUGUCUCUUAUAC
rnacentral:rRNA from 1 species